CUCCCAAACCCCUGUGAACAUACCAAUUGUUGCCUCGGCGGAUCAGCCCGCUCCCGGUAAAACGGGACGGCCCGCCAGAGGACCCCUAAACUCUGUUUCUAUAUGUAACUUCUGAGUAAAACCAUAAAUAAAUCAAAACUUUCAACAACGGAUCUCUUGGUUCUGGCAUCGAUGAAGAACGCAGCAAAAUGCGAUAAGUAAUGUGAAUUGCAGAAUUCAGUGAAUCAUCGAAUCUUUGAACGCACAUUGCGCCCGCCAGUAUUCUGGCGGGCAUGCCUGUUCGAGCGUCAUUUCAACCCUCAAGCCCAGCUUGGUGUUGGGACUCGCGAGUUAAACCGCGUUCCCCAAAUUGAUUGGCGGUCACGUCGAGCUUCCAUAGCGUAGUAGUAAAACCCUCGUUACUGGUAAUCGUCGCGGCCACGCCGUUAAACCCCAACUUCUGAAUGUUGACCUCGGAUCAGGUAGGAAUACCCGCUGAAC
rnacentral:rRNA from 1 species